rnacentral:rRNA from 1 species
UACAGAGGGGGCAAGCGUUGCUCGGAAUUACUGGGCGUAAAGCGUGCGCAGGCGGUUUUGUAAGCCAGAUGUGAAAGCCCCGGGCUUAACCUGGGAAUGGCAUUUGGGACUGCAAGGCUGGAGUGCGGCAGAGGAGACUGGAAUUCCCGGUGUAGCAGUGAAAUGCGUAGAUAUCGGGAGGAACACCGGUGGCGAAGGCGGUUCUCUGGGCCUGUACUGACGCUGAGGAGCGAAAGCGUGGGGAGCGAACAGG